ensembl:snRNA U2 U2 spliceosomal RNA
AUCGCUUCUCGGCCUUUUGGCUAAGAUCAAGUGUAGUAUCAGAAACAAAGAUUUACUCAGCUUAAGUUAGUAAACGGGACUGCAACUACU